GACGAACGCUGGCGGCGUGCUUAACACAUGCAAGUCGAACGAAAAGAGGGAAAGAGCCUGCUCUUUCCGGAAUUGAGUGGCAAACGGGUGAGUAACACGUACACAACCUGCCUUCAGGAUGGGGACAACAGACGGCAACGACUGCUAAUACCGAAUAAGUUCCAAGAGCCGCAUGGCCCAUGGCAGAAAAGGUGGCCUCUACCUGUAAGCUAUCGCCUGAAGUGGGGUUUGCGGCUGAUUAGCUGGUUGGAGGGGUAACGGCCCACCAAGGCGACGAUCAGUAGACGGUCUGAGAGGAUGAACGGGCACACUGGAACUGAGACACGGGCCAGACUCCUACGGGAGGCAGCAGUGGGGAAUCUUCCGCAAUGGGCGAAAGCCUGACGGAGCAACGCCGCGUGAGUGAUGACGGCCUUCGGGUUGUAAAACUCUGUGAUCCGGGACGAAAAGGCAGAGUGCGAAGAACAAACUGCAUUGACGGUACCGGAAAAGCAAGCCACGGCUAACUACGUG
rnacentral:rRNA from 1 species